rnacentral:rRNA from 1 species
GAUGAACGCUGGCGGCGUGCCUAAUACAUGCAAGUAGAACGCUGAAGGAGGAGCGUGCUCUUCUGGAUGAGUUGCGAACGGGUGAGUAACGCGGAGGUAACCUGCCUGGUAGCGGGGGAUAACUAUUGGAAACGAUAGCUAAUACCGAAUGACAACAGUUAUUGCAUGAAAACUGUUUAAAAGGGGCAAUGGCUCCACUACCAGAGGGACCUGCGUUGUAUUAGCUAGUUGGUGAGGUAACGGCUCACCAAGGCGACGAUACAUAGCCGACCUGAGAGGGUGAUCGGCCACACUGGGACUGAGACACGGCCCAGACUCCUACGGGAGGCAGCAGUAGGGACUCUUCGGCAAUAGACGGAAGUCUGACCGAGCAACGCCGCGUGAGUGAAGAAGGUUUUCGGAUCGUAAAGAUCUGUUGUAAGAGAAGAACGAGUGUGAGAGUGGAAAGUUCACACUGUGACGGUAUCUUACCAGAAAGGGACGGCUAACUACGUG